rnacentral:lncRNA from 1 species
GGAGCUGCAAACUGCCCUCAGGGCAAAGAAGCCUGCAGAAUAAUUGGGAGGAGUCUGGCAGGAAGGAAGCCAAGUUUCCUGAGGCCCUCACCAGAAGCUCAUCAGAAGCAGAUGCUGGCACCACUCUUCUUAUGCUGUCUGCGUAACUAAAGCACAAGCAAGAAUGUGUGAGAAGAUCACAGAGACCUAAAGAAGGGGAAGGGAAGAACCCACAUGUGAGAGAGAAGAGAUUGUCUGACUUGGUCUCUUAGGGCUCCUCAUCUCAAGAAGCCAGCAGGCAAGGGAAGGACAAACCAUCCUUGCAGGAAUAAUUCGUACUGAUCAUUUGGAGGAGAUUCGGCUAGUAUAGCUGCUGUUACAUAAUGAAGAAAAGGAAGAAUAUGUUUCAAACUCAGAUGAACCACUGGGGAGUCUCUUGAUACUCUGUUGCCUAAUUUGGAUGGUUAAUGGUCAGUGUUCCUAAUUGCACUGCCCCUGGAAAACGCACGGAGAAGAAAUACAGCAAAAUACAUGAGAUGGUGAAACACUCUGGCAACUGCAAGCGGACAGAUGGGAUCUGGGAGGUAAUGCAGGGUCACAGGGCAGUUACACCAGGAUAUUUGGUUCUUUCCUACUCUCCUUUCCCCACCCUCAAUGCUAUAUACAUAACUGCUAGUGAAUCAAUUUAUGUACAUAUCCCAGAUAUCUAGGACUGGUUGAGGCGGGUUAUCCAAGAGAGUCACAGUGUAUUACCAUUUUUUAUUAAGUACAACCAGACCAACAGAGAACUGAUUAACUCAACCACUGAACUUUAUGUUUUCCCCCAUCAUCUAUAGAAUUGAUUUUACUGGAUUUUGACAUGUCAGUUUAUCACUUACUUUAUCCUUCAGUGAAGGACACACUAAGGAAUGGAGUUAUUAAGCUUGUUCUACUGGCUGUGAGGAUGUUGUUGAGGGACAUUGUUCAUGACGUUAUGUUGUGUCAUUUUUAUGAGGACUCAAUGGAAGGACUUCUGUCUGAUUUCAGUACUGGAAGUAGUCAUACUUCUCCUGAGCAACCAUUUUCUUUCUCCGUUAUAAAAAUCUCAUUGUCUCUGU